rnacentral:misc_RNA from 1 species
GAGUUGGGGUCUUCUAGGCCCGAUCUCCAACCCUUUGUAUAACUACCAUGUUGCUUUGGCGGGCCCGUCUUUAACCGGACCGCCGGGGGUCUUUUGACCUCUGGCCAGUGCUCGUCAGUAGCCUACACAAAAACUCUUUUAACCAUGUUAAAUCUGAAACUAGUUAAAUAAACUAAAACUUUCAACAACGGAUCUCUUGGUUCU